UUGACAUUAUACAGAGAGUGUACUUGUCCCCAGAUCCCUUCAUGCUGGCAGGUCUGUUGGUGAUAUCCAGAAGUACUCAUCUGUACUUAAAAACCCGUCCCACCUGGGGAAGGACUGAAUAUCUCUUAGUCUUCAGUGCAUGAAUCUCUGUUGCUCUGCUGGGAGAUACCCAGCCUUUGGCAAUCCUCCCUGUUUCCACCUGUGAAAAUCCAUAGGGUUUGUACUGAUUGGACACUGUGGGGCCUUGGGGCCGGGCUGGGCUUGCCUGGACCUGAGCUGCUCCUGGCUGGCUGGGCUGUGAUAGCAACACCGUGUCUGUCACCUACCCUGGGCUAGUUCCACCUGUGGCAACAGCCCAACAAAACCCGGUUGUCCAUGGAGACAAACUGAUGACCCAGCCAGAGAGAUGCAGGAAGAACAGGCACAACAGCAGAGAUCCAAGGAAAGUUAAAUCAGUUCAUACAUCCAUUUGGAGGGUGCUCAGAAAACUACGUCAAGAACCUACACACCAGAGAAAGCCUCUUCUGCAAAGGAGAUGAGAAUGUUGUUAGAAGAUGACACUGAAGAUGGAAAGUCUCCAGAGGUUCAGAGAGAUGGCAUCAUCUUCAAAUCAAAACUCAAGACUCUUUUGUUGCAUGUUGGGAUUCUGUUGCACAGACUUUUGGAACUUCAGCCCUUUAUUUCCAAGUGAAUAACACCUCUUGAGAUGUCCAAGUGAAACUGAGUGAUUCUCAGUGCCUAACUGGCUUUAGAACAGGAAUUUUAAUUUCAGAUAAGAUAUUAAUUUCAGAAGCAUUUUAAAUGUUUGCAUUUACAGUAAUCUUCUUGAAUAAAGAAGCUACAAAACUUCA